rnacentral:rRNA from 1 species
UCUACGGGUGGCAGCAGUGGGGGAUCUUGCACAAUGGGGGAAACCCUGAUGCAGCGACGCCGCGUGGGUGAAGAAGCGCCUCGGCGCGUAAAGCCCUGUCAGCAGGGAAGAAAAUGACGGUACCUGAAUAAGCAUCCCCGGCUAACUACGUGCCAGCAGCCGCCGUCAUACGUAGGGGGCAAGCGUUAUCCGGAUUGACUGGGUGUAAAGGGGGCGCAGGCGGCGAAGCAAGCCAGGAGUGAAAGCCCGGGGCGCAACCCGGGGACUGCAUCUGGAACUGGGUGGCUUGAGUGCAGGAGGGGCAGGCGGAACUCCUGGUGUAGUGGUGGAAUGCGUAGAUAUCAGGAGGAACACCAGUGGCGAAGGCGGCCUGCUGGACUGCAACUGACGUUGAGGCCCGAAAGCGUGGGGAGCAAACAGGAUUAGAUACCCGGGUAGUC